rnacentral:rRNA from 1 species
GAUGAACGCUGGCGGCGUGCUUAACACAUGCAAGUCGAACGGAGCUAUGACACGGAGUCUUCGGAUGAAGUGCUGUAGCUUAGUGGCGGACGGGUGAGUAACACGUGAGCAACCUACCUUUGCAGGGGAAUAACUCUGGGAAACCAGGGCUAAUACCGCAUGCCGUGCGCUUGGGGCAUCCCAGGUGCAUGAAAGGAGCAAUCCGGCAGAAGAUGGGCUCGCGUCCGAUUAGGUAGUUGGAGAGGUAACGGCUCCCCAAGCCGACGAUCGGUAGCCGGACUGAGAGGUCGAUCGGCCACAUUGGGACUGAGACACGGCCCAGACUCCUACGGGAGGCAGCAGUGGGGAAUAUUGGGCAAUGGGCGGAAGCCUGACCCAGCGACGCCGCGUGAAGGAGGAAGGCUUUCGAGUUGUAAACUUCUUUGGGGAGGGACGAAGAUGACGGUACCUCCAGAACAAGCCACGGCUAACUACGUG